rnacentral:rRNA from 1 species
AUUGAACGCUGGCGGCAUGCCUUACACAUGCAAAUCGAACGGUAACGGGCCUUCGGGUGCCGACGAGUGGCGAACGGGUGAGUAAUACAUCGGAACGUGCCCGAUCGUGGGGGAUAACGAGGCGAAAGCUUUGCUAAUACCGCAUACGAUCUACGGAUGAAAGCAGGGGACCGCAAGGCCUUGCGCGGACGGAGCGGCCGAUGGCAGAUUAGGUAGUUGGUGGGAUAAAAGCUUACCAAGCCGACGAUCUGUAGCUGGUCUGAGAGGAUGAUCAGCCACACUGGGACUGAGACACGGCCCAGACUCCUACGGGAGGCAGCAGUGGGGAAUUUUGGACAAUGGGCGCAAGCCUGAUCCAGCCAUGCCGCGUGCAGGAUGAAGGCCUUCGGGUUGUAAACUGAUUUUGUACGGAACGAAAAGCCUUCUUUUAAUACAGGAGGGUCAUGACAGUACCGUAAGAAUAAGCACCGGCUAACUACGUG